AAACUUUUAUAUUCUCAUUUGCACUGAGAAUUCAAGAAUUUUUAAAAUUUAUAUUCUUAAGUUUU
rnacentral:tRNA from 1 species